rnacentral:rRNA from 1 species
AUUCCAGCUCCAAUAGCGUAUAUUAAUGUUGUUGCGGUUAAAAAGCUCGUAGUUGGAUCUCGGCGGGCAGGGGACGGUUCGUUAUUCGACGCUACUGUCCCAUUUGCCCGUGUUUUUGGGCGGAGGUUUCGGGGUGCUCUUAAUCGAGUGUCCCGAGGCGCCGUCCGGUUUACUUUGAAAAAAUUAGAGUGCUCAGCGCAGGCUUUCCACGCUUGAAUAUUUGUGCAUGGAAUAAUGGAAUAGGACGUCGUUUCUAUUUUGUUGGUUUUGAGAAAUCGACGUAAUGAUCAAUAGGGACAGUCGGGGGCAUUAGUAUUCAGGCGACAGAGGUGAAAUUCUUGGACCGCCUGAAGACUCACUACUGCGAAAGCAUUUGCCAAGAAUGUUUUCAUCA